rnacentral:rRNA from 1 species
AUUGAACGCUGGCGGCAUGCCUUACACAUGCAAGUCGAACGGUAACAGGUCUUCGGAUGCUGACGAGUGGCGAACGGGUGAGUAAUACAUCGGAACGUGCCUAGUAGUGGGGGAUAACUACUCGAAAGAGUGGCUAAUACCGCAUGAGAUCUACGGAUGAAAGCAGGGGGUCGCAAGACCUUGUGCUACUAGAGCGGCCGAUGGCAGAUUAGGUAGUUGGUGGGAUAAAAGCUUACCAAGCCGACGAUCUGUAGCUGGUCUGAGAGGACGAUCAGCCACACUGGGACUGAGACCAGGCCCAGACUCCUACGGGGGGCAGCAGUGGGGAAUUUUGGACAAUGGGCGCAAGCCUGAUCCAGCAAUGCCGCGUGCAGGAUGAAGGCCUUCGGGUUGUAAACUGCUUUUGUACGGAACGAAAAGCCCUGGGUUAAUACCCUGGGGUCAUGACGGUACCGUAAGAAUAAGCACCGGCUAACUACGUGCCAGCCGCCGCCGUAAUAC